rnacentral:lncRNA from 1 species
AGUGUUGGAUGGUUAGCUGCAGCAACAAGGCCAGAUUUGUUGCAUCAUGGACUCUUCAAUAGUUAAACCAUGCAUUUCCUUUGGCUUGGUGAGUUUCUUUGGUUAGAACCAUGAGUGACAAGGUUGUGCUGUUAGAGCUCUUUUGAGAUUGAUUUGGAACAGACCACAUUCAAAGGUUAUUGAUGCCAAAAUGUCAAGAUAACAUGGCAGGUGCACAAUGGGACUUGCUUGUAAUGGAAGAGACCAAGAAAAAUCAACAACACACAUGAAGAUUGGGUGAUGUAUUGAAGAAAAAGGCCAGGCCAAGUUGGAUGGGCAAGAGCAAGUGAAAGUUGACUUUGGUCAAAGUUGA